AAUGCAUAUUGUUAGAGCUUGGAGUUGAGGCCACUAGCUGGCUGAUGAACCAGAAGUGUACAUAGUAUGCUACAUGAUGGGCAAGUCUUUCACUAACACAAGGGUCUCUGGCCCAAUGAAUGGGGUUUGAUAGUAAUUCUUGCUGCAAGU